CAGCCGCCGCGGUAAUACGUAGGGUGCGAGCGUUAAUCGGAAUUACUGGGCGUAAAGCGUGCGCAGGCGGUUGUGUAAGACGGGUGUGAAAUCCCCGGGCUUAACCUGGGAACUGCGCUUGUGACUGCACAGCUAGAGUAUGGCAGAGGGGGGUGGAAUUCCACGUGUAGCAGUGAAAUGCGUAGAGAUGUGGAGGAACACCGAUGGCGAAGGCAGCCCCCUGGGCCAAUACUGACGCUCAUGCACGAAAGCGUGGGGAGCAAACAGGAUUAGAUACCCCCGUAGUCCCUGUCUCUUAUAC
rnacentral:rRNA from 1 species